CUGGUUUUGUUUUUCUAGAGAAGUAUAAGUGUCCCCUUUACUUUUGGAUUGUUUGUUUUAGGAUGCUAUGCCGUAUUUCCUUGUGUAAGUGCAUGUAUGUGCCACUACAAUGGGAUGUCCCAUAAAAACUUACGGGCUCAGGAACAGGUCUAACAUUCUCAUCUUAAUAUGCAAUAUGGGAAGAAUUGCCAAUGGUUGUUAAUUUCUAAGUUAAUAAGCCUAUGCAUAUUGAGGAAAAUUUAAUUUUACUUCGAAAGUACCACUACAAAGUUCCUUUUAUUAUUUAAAACUAGAAGGUUUAUCCACUUAUAGUUCUUCUAAGUAAAAUAACCAAAUUUUAUUUUCCUUUGUUUAGAGGACAAACCUUCCAAUAGAAACAAACACAUGAUGAGUGUUUCAAGGCCAUCUGUUCUCUGUCACAAUGGCUCAAGUCUGCUGUUGUCAUGUGAAAGCAGCCACAGACAAGACUUGAGCCAAGGGAGAGGCUGUGUUCCAGGGAAACAUUAAUACAAAAACAGGUCAUGGGUCAGAUUUACCCUCCAGACUUGGCUUUCAAGCCCUGGUCUAAGGCCUAGUGUCUAGAAAGGUCAAUGAAGACAGAUAUUGCUUCUUUGCCAUGUGCAACUGUUUGCAUCUAUAGAGAUGCAGAAAGAUCAUCUGGGAAGAUGGAAAGUGGGGUCCAGACAUCUUGUCUUUGAUGUUCAAAACCAUUUGUGCAUUUUUACUGGAGUGGGAAUAUGAACAAGUGACAGAGGGUCAACCCUAAAGCUGAUAAAGCUGAGAAAAAUCUGUGUGGCAGACACCAGAACUUCUAAAGACACAAUGAUUGUACCAUGUUGGCUAUGUCUUGAGGAAAAUGGCAGGAUUUUGGUACCUCGAGUCCAGGGUGCUUUUGCAUCUUUUGGAUGCCUUUAUGCAGAUGAGAUGAUUUCCUGUGCCUGUAUUGUAUGCCGCUUUUCUCCAGCCUCCCAUUAUCCAGAGGAUUUGCUGCAAACUAGACCUUCAUAGCAGAAGUGAAACAGUGUGCUUGCAUUACACAUUUAUAUAGGCAAACUAUGAGUCACCUUUAGAUCCAUAACUUUUUAAUUUACAAGGCACAAAGAAACUCAGAGGGAUCAUAAAUUUAUCAAUUUGGUUUCAUAGGUAAAAUAGAAAAGGCUGGCUUAGUCAACAUUACAUUUUCAGCACUUACUGAAGGUGUGUUUAUGAGAUGUCCAAACAAAUUUUCGUAUGGCGCCUUUGGAGUUACUAAUGUUCACUAGCUUCCUUUUAUCUUCCUUCUUGUUGUUUUCAGUGAUGCUAUAAUCUCCCCAGUGGUAGGAGAUCAUAAAUCUCUAGGAUGUGUCAAUUACAUAUAGAAUGGAGGGGACAAUUCUCCAGUUCAAAAGAGAAAUAGUGAACAUGUGUUCCAUCAGCAUUGUCUGAAGAGGCAUUACAGGGGAAGUGAUGUUCUGGGUCAGAGGAGGGCAAGCACACAUCCCUAUCUCCAGAAGCAUGAAAGCAUUGACUCACAAUUAGCAAACUGCCACUUGACAUGAUAAACGCCACAGUAAAGGAGUGACUAGCACACCGUGGGAGGGAGCGAUCCCCACAGAGGAGAAA
rnacentral:lncRNA from 1 species